rnacentral:rRNA from 1 species
AGCUAAUACAUGCUAAAAAUCCCGACUUCGGAAGGGAUGUAUUUAUUAGAUAAAAAACCAAUGCCCUCCGGGGCUCCCGUGGUGAUUCAUGAUAACUCGACGAAUCGCAUGGCCUUGCGCCGGCGAUGGUUCAUUCAAAUUUCUGCCCUAUCAACUUUCGAUGGUAUGGUUUUGGCUUACCAUGGUCUCGACGGGUAACGGGGAAUUAGGGUUCGAUUCCGGAGAGGGAGCCUGAGAAACGGCUACCACAUCCAAGGAAGGCAGCAGGCGCGCAAAUUACCCAAUACCAACUCGGUGAGGUAGUGACAAUAAAUACUGAUACAGGGCUCUUUCGGGUCUUGUAAUUGGAAUGAGUACAAUCUAAAUCCCUUAACGAGGAACAAUUGGAGGGCAAGUCUGGUGAACUGUUCGGUUCGGGAGUUUUUAUACAACCUUGCUGACGCCAGAAACUGUUACCUUUUGUGUUAGUAGCAAUGUCCACCGCGUCAUUAUUUGCUUCGCAGGCAAUGUGAGACGCGGGGGCGAGGUCAGCUGGAUCGAGGAAGCCUGCAGCCCGCGGUCGUCCGUUACAGGGCCCCGGGUAUGGUAAUCUCGAGCCGAGUCUAACGUUGGUUGGUACCGUCUCCGGGCGGCGGCCGUCUCAACGGAAUCUAUGGACCGGUGUAGAGCACGCAAAGCGACCGGCUGCCGUGAACGACGUGGGGCUCAACUGCCACGUCUGCCACGGUCAGCUCAAGGAACGUGCCGAUCCCCGGACGAAAGUCCGGCCCUGGUGAAGUCAUGUAGUACCGCUGCGAACGGGAAGCUCCAGGGGCCUCUGGGACAAAAUAUUAUCGAUUCCCGGGGGUGAAGGGUGCCGAACGGUCUCUCUCUAGUCGCCGACGGGGGUAGAGAUCGUGCUGGCACCCAACCAAUUGGCCAGCAGCCGCGGUAAUUCCAGCUCCAAUAGCGUAUAUUAAAGUUGUUGCCGUUAAAAAGCUCGUAGUUGAACCUUGGGUCUGGCCGAUCUGUCCUCCUAAUCGAGCGCACGGAUUCGGCCGGACCUUUCCUUCUGGGGAGCCCGAUGCCCUUUACUGGGCGUCGCGGGGAACCAGGACUUUUACCUUGAAAAAAUUAGAGUGUUCAAAGCAGGCAUUUGCUCGAAUACAUUAGCAUGGAAUAAUAGAAUAGGACAGAGGUUCUAUUUUGUUGGUUUCUAGGACCGCUGUAAUGAUUAAUAGGGAUAGUCGGGGGCGUCCGUAUUCAAUUGUCAGAGGUGAAAUUCUUGGAUUUAUUGAAGACGAACUACUGCGAAAGCAUUCGCCAAGGAUGUUUUCAUUAAUCAGUGAACGAAAGUUAGGGGAUCGAAGACGAUCAGAUACCGUCGUAGUCNNNNNNNNNNNNNNNNNNNNNNNNNNNNNNNNNNNNNNNNNNNNNNNNNNUUGACGGAAGGGCACCACAAGGCGUAAACGCCGUAGGAAAUCUGCGCCUCACAGGCACCCCGAUCUCAAAAGGGGUGGUGGUAAGUCCUGGCCGGCCGUGACCAACUGGUCGCGCGGCCGAAAAGCCUAGUCCGCCCGGAGCGUCCUCGCAUCCGGCGGGCGAGACCCUCAAAUUGCGUGAAAGCCCUGACACCCGGUCCUACCGCCCGGACGAUCAACAGUCGUCCCGUGGCACCGUGGGUAACGCCCACGGGUAAGGUAACAACGGUACCGGUUUGGGUGAUGCGCAGCCAAGCUCCUGUCGACGACGGAGAAGGUUCAGAGACUAGACGGGGGUCGGUCUCACUAAACGGGGCUUAAGGUAUAGUCCGCUUACCUACAUCUCGCACUGUGCGACCAUUCGUAAAUGGGAGCCUGCGGCUUAAUUUGACUCAACACGGGGAAACUCACCAGGUCCAGACAUGCUUAGGAUUGACAGAUUGAUAGCUCUUUCUUGAUUGUAUGGGUGGUGGUGCAUGGCCGUUUUUAGUUGGUGGAGUGAUUUGUCUGCUUAAUUGCGUUAACGAACGAGACCUUGACCUGCUAAAUAGUCCCACUCACUUUGGUGGGUGGCCGACUUCUUAGAGGGACUUUUGGCUCAAGCCAAUGGAAGUACGAGGCAAAAACAGGUCUGUGAUGCCCUUAGAUGUUCUGGGCCGCACGCGCGCUACACUGACAGAGCCAGCGAGUACACCACCUUGGCCGAAAGGUCUGGGUAAUCUUGUUAAACUCUGUCGUGCUGGGGAUAGAGCAUUGCAAUUAUUGCUCUUCAACGAGGAAUGCCUAGUAAGCGCAAGUCAUCAGCUUGCGUUGAUUACGUCCCUGCCCUUUGUACACACCGCCCGUCGCUACUACCGAUUGAAUGGCUCAGUGAGGCCUUGGGAUUGGCCAGGGGAGGUGGGCGACCACCACCCCAGGCCGAAAACUUGGUCAAACUUGGUCAUUUAGAGGAAGUAAAAGUCGUAACAAGGUUUUCGCAGACGCCUAGUCUCGAGAUAAGUCCUGAUGCAUCCUUCUGCAGUGAACACUUAUCGGAAGCCUUUAACAGCUGCCGGAAACGGUGAGGCUGCCACGACUGUAAAUAAGGGCAGCCCAAGAGCUAGUGGAACGCCGGUCCCUUGCCGGUCUUUCGCGACACUGUCAAAUUGCGGGAAUCCCCUUAGAGCUUGCUGCUACCAAGCGUCGUCCCGAAACGGGCGACGUGGCCAGGGUAACUCCCUCGGGUACGGUCACAACGCGCAAGAUUGGGUAACCUGCAGCCAAGUCCUACCGGCCUUCCAGGCCCAUGGAUGCUGUUCACAGACUAAAUGGUAGUGGGUGACGCCCCCCUCGGUAGAAGAGGGGUAGGAGUCGCUUAAGAUAUAGUCGGGCCCCCGGGGAGACUCGGGGGAAAAGUUUCACGAAGAAUGGCCGUCGGUCCUUUUCGACGUGCCUAACAAUAACCGUUCCGUAGGUGAACCUGCGGAAGGAUCAUUA